rnacentral:lncRNA from 1 species
UUCCAAUGUUUUCUUGCUUAUCAUACCAUGGCUAAACCGUCCAUGACCUCAAAUCCAGCUGCCAUAAAAUUCAUCAAAAGUUCAUGUAAAUCCACACUUUACCCUGUGUUAUGUGUCCAAUGCCUCUCAGCUUUUGCUAACACUGUUAAACAAAGUGAGAAACAAUUAGCUCACGCUGCUUUAUCAGUUAGUUUAAGCAGAGCAAAAUCCACUACGAUAUUUGUAUCGAAGUUAAAUAGAAUACGUGGUCUAAAGCCAAGAGAAAAACAAGCAGUUAAAGACUGUUUGGACACUAUGAGUGAUAGUGUUGAUCAGAUAAAUAAAUCAAUUCCAGAACUUGGACAUAUUAGUCAAUUUUCAAAGUAAUGUACAGACUUGGGUAAGUGCUGCACUUACUGAUGAAAAUACUUGUCUUGAUGGAUUUUCAGGACCUGGUAUGAAUGGAAAUGUUAAGGCUGCUUUAAGGGUGAGGAUACUUCAUGUUGCACAAGUUACUAGUAAUGCACUUGCUUUGGUUAAUCGAUUUGCGGAUCGACA